rnacentral:rRNA from 1 species
UGGGGAAUAUUGGACAAUGGGGGAAACCCUGAUCCAGCGACGCCGCGUGUGUGAAGAAGGCCUGCGGGUUGUAAAGCACUUUUAGUGGGGAUGAAAAGCUCAGGGUUAAUACCUCUGGGUCUUGACCUAACCCACCGAAAAAGCACCGGCUAACUCUGUGCCAGCAGCCGCGGUAAUACAGAGGGUGCAAGCGUUAAUCGGAAUUACUGGGCGUAAAGCGUGCGUAGACGGUUACAUAAGUCAGAUGUGGAAGCCCCGGGCUCAACCUGGGAAUUGCAUUUGAGACUGUGUAGCUAGGGUGCGGAAGAGGGAAGCGGAAUUUCCGGUGUAGCGGUGAAAUGCGUAGAUAUCGGAAGGAACACCAGUGGCGAAAGCGGCUUCCUGGUCCAGCACCGACGUUCAGGCACGAAAGCGUGGGGAGCAAAC